UACGAAGGGGGCUAGCGUUGCUCGGAAUCACUGGGCGUAAAGGGUGCGUAGGCGGGUCUUUUAAGUCAGGGGGUGAAAUCCUGGAGCUCAACUCCAGAACUGCCUUUGAUACUGAAGAUCUUGAGUUCGGGAGAGGUGAGUGGAACUGCGAGUGUAGAGGUGAAAUUCGUAGAUAUUCGCAAGAACACCAGUGGCGAAGGCGGCUCACUGGCCCGAUACUGACGCUGAGGCACGGAAAGCGAGUGGGGAGACAAACAGG
rnacentral:rRNA from 1 species